rnacentral:rRNA from 1 species
UACGUAGGGCGCAAGCGUUGUCCGGAAUUACUGGGCGUAAAGCGCGCGUAGGCGGCUUUGUAAGUUAGAGGUGAAAGCCCGGGGCUCAACCCCGGAACUGCCUUUAAAACUGCAUCGCUUGAAUCCGGGAGAGGUGAGUGGAAUUCCGAGUGUAGAGGUGAAAUUCGUAGAUAUUCGGAAGAACACCAGUGGCGAAGGCGGCUCACUGGACCGGCAUUGACGCUGAGGUGCGAAAGCGUGGGGAGCAAACAGG